CGAAGGGGCUAGCGUUGCUCGGAAUUACUGGGCGUAAAGGGAGCGUAGGCGGAUAGUUUAGUCAGAGGUGAAAGCCCAGGGCUCAACCUUGGAAUUGCCUUUGAUACUGGCUAUCUUGAGUACGGAAGAGGUAUGUGGAACUCCGAGUGUAGAGGUGAAAUUCGUAGAUAUUCGGAAGAACACCAGUGGCGAAGGCGACAUACUGGUCCGUUACUGACGCUGAGGCUCGAAAGCGUGGGGAGCAAACAGGAUU
rnacentral:rRNA from 1 species